UUGAAGAAUUUGAAGACUUCAACUUGUAGACUCUUCAACCUGCAAAUUUGAAGAAUUUGAAGACUUCAACU
rnacentral:pre_miRNA from 1 species